UACGAAGGGGGCUAGCGUUGCUCGGAAUCACUGGGCGUAAAGCGCACGUAGGCGGCUUCUUAAGUCAGGGGUGAAAUCCUGGAGCUCAACUCCAGAACUGCCCUUGAUACUGAGGAGCUCGAGUCCGGAAGAGGUGAGUGGAACUCCGAGUGUAGAGGUGAAAUUCGUAGAUAUUCGGAGGAACACCAGUGGCGAAGGCGGCUCACUGGUCCAUUACUGACGCUGAGGUGCGAAAGCGUGGGGAGCAAACAGG
rnacentral:rRNA from 1 species